UACGUAGGGAGCAAGCGUUGUCCGGAUUUAUUGGGCGUAAAGAGCUCGUAGGCGGCUCAGUAAGUCAGGUGUGAAACCUCCAGGCUCAACCUGGAGACGCCACCUGAUACUGCUGUGGCUAGAGUCCGGUAGGGGAGCGUGGAAUUCCUGGUGUAGCGGUGAAAUGCGCAGAUAUCAGGAGGAACACCAGCGGCGAAGGCGGCCUGCUGGGCAGUAGCUGACACUGAGGCGCGACAGCGUGGGGAGCAAACAGG
rnacentral:rRNA from 1 species